UUGAGUUCCUCCAGCAGUUUCUUGGUUUGUGAGCGUCUUUAUAUCAUAUUUCUCAUGUCAGCAGUUUUACUCGGCCAGGUAUCACGCCCGGAGCGAGGAACAAAGGGAGGUAUCAAUCACAGGCGAACCUUCUGUUGUGUUUGGAUAUCCCUGACGCCAAUCAUAGAGAGGACGAGCUUGGAUCGCAGGGCGUUAGUUAAAAACAAAGAUCUUAGAGCGGUGGGUUCACGGCGUUCACGGCGAGCUCAUCUGAGCUUUGGCGUUGUCCGUGAAGCCGCUGUACAAACUCGGGGCGUUUCUGUGGCUUGUGGCAGGUGAUUGCUGAUUUUUUUUAAAUCGCAACCUCUGUGUUGCCUUUACCUGCUGCAACAGGGCAUUGAACAGGGGAGCAGGCUGUUGGAGUCGGCAACUGCUGGAUUUCCUCAUUUAACUGCACAUAUAAACUGGCAGCAGCAUGCACUUCG